rnacentral:ncRNA from 1 species
UUUGAUGGGGCAUUAUACUGUCGAACAGUAAAGCAGAUGUCCUAAGGUGAGUCCAGGGAAGAUAGAAACCUCUCAUGAAGCAGAAGGGCAAAUGCUAGCUUCAACUUGAUUUUCAAUACGAAUACAGACACGAAAGUAGAACCUCAUGAUCCUUUUGAACUUUCAGGUUUUAAGCAGGG